rnacentral:lncRNA from 1 species
CGCAGCUCUCAGGCCGGGCCUGAGCCUGCAGCCUGUGUGCCCUCCAUCAUCAGGGCCCCCUCUCAGGACAGGCUACACCGAGGGUGGGACGGCGGACUUCCAGGGACACUUCCAAGUCGUGCCCAUGCAGAUACCUCAGUAUACACUGCCCACAGUUAAGAAACCACGACCUGAGACAUUGUUUUGAAGAGGUGAAAAUGCCUCCACUCAAGUGGCCCAGGAGCGUGAUCCAGGAAGACGAACACACAGAACCAUCUUCUGCAUGGUUUGAAAAUUCAGUGGAAACUAGGACUCCAAGCUGCUGUCCCCUCUCUGCCGCAUCUGAGGCUGGGAAAACUUCCUAGGAGAAGGCAAGAGAAAGCCACCAGACCAGAGCCGAGGACUAAACUUUAAGGUCGAAGACGGCAGAGGGGCAGGUUCUCCCCUGCACACCCCAAGGCCUCUCCUGCACCCGCGAGGCCUUCCUUGAGCGCCCAGGCCCCCGAAAUGCCUGCCCUCCUUCUGACAAAAGGAGGGGGUAGGAUGUGAAGGGGUAGUGCAACCAACAAUGUUUUUGUAAACACAACAACAGGGAAAUACAUGGAGGAAAUCUAUUUAUUGGGUGUGUCAUUUUUGGUGGGGGGCG